CAGGUGAUAGUUCAAUUGGUAGAAUACAUGCUUUGGGAGUGUGGGGUUGCAGGUUCAAGUCCUGCUUACCUGA